UACAAGUCCCAAAUGAGUGGAUAGAGUUAUCAGAGCUUAUUUCUUGGGUAGCAUUGAGGACUGGGUUGGGAAAAUAUUUCGUUAGUGGGAUGAAUUGUAAAGGACCUGCCGAGCAUGGGCCAAUAGGCCUGCUGCAGUGAUCCUCCUUUCUUAUGUUCAUCAACCACUAUCACAACUUCCACUCUACCACCACCAUCUUUGUAUUUUUCUACAAACUUUUUCAUAAAUUAUGUGUUUCUCACAUUCUUUACCAAAGAGCUGGCACUAGAAGCUUUCUUUGGUGGUAGUGAUGGUGGUAGAAGGUAGUAGUGAUGGUGGUAACAGUUGUAAUAGUGGUAGAAGGUCGUAGUGAUGGUGGUAGAGGGUUCCUUCUUUAGUGAUUCAGCGAUUCUACCAACUCCUCCAAUGUUGGAGUUAUAUAGGGCUACAAAAACCACCGCCGCCUCACCACCAUUAUGGACGGCUUACACUCAGUGGCCCUUAUAUACCCAACAACAACACAACACAACACCUCUCGUGACAUAUGUAAUGACUUAUUUUAUUCAUUCUAGAGUAUAUUCCACGUUUCUAUGUUAUUAAUAUUGUUUAUUAUGUCAUAUUAGUUGAAUUGUGAUAGAUAAAUAAGCCAUAGAGUUGAUAUUAGUGUCAUAUUUUCCAACAAUAAACUUGCCAUCCCUCCCUCACACAAACAAAUAGCCAAUAAGAACAUAACAAUGGAAGAACACUGCAGGUCUACUGGCCCAUACAAGGCAGGUCCUUAUCAAAAUGACCUCCACCCAAAGCUACCCAAGAAUUUACUCCCGUACCCAAUGACAAAUCAAACUCGGCUCCUCCAACUCGUAUAUUUGUCCAAUCUCUUCUUGAAGCUACCCAAGGUCCUAGCCUCGAUCACCCUACUGGUAAGUGUGAUGUUAAAUAAGAACUUAAGAAAGUAGGAACACUGGAACAGGCCUGCUGGCCCAUACUAGGCCGGUCCUUCACAAAUCCAACCCACUAACAGAACAAAUGCUACCCAAACAAUUAGCUCAGGUGCAAGUCCGACUCAAAUCCAACCCCUCUCACUCGUGUAUUUAUCCAACCUAAAUUUGAAACUACCCAAGCCAUAGCUUUUAGAACAUUGGAAAGGAGGAACACUGCAAUAAGCCUGUUGGCCCAUACUAGGCCGGUCCUUCACAAAUCCAACCCACUAACAGAACAAAUGCUACCCAAGCAAUAAGCUCAGGUGCAAGUCCGACUCAAAUCCAACCCCUCUCACUCGUGUAUUUAUCCAACCUAAA